CUGAGAGGAUGAUCAGCCACACUGGUACUGAGACACGGACCAGACUCCUACGGGAGGCAGCAGUAAGGAAUAUUGGUCAAUGGGCGGAAGCCUGAACCAGCCAUGCCGCGUGCGGGAAGAAGGCGCUAUGCGUUGUAAACUGCUUUUCCAGGGGAAGAAAACCUGCUACGUGUAGUGGUUUGCCGGUACCCUGGGAAUAAGCAUCGGCUAACUCCGUGCCAGCAGCCGCGGUAAUACGGAGGAUGCGAGCGUUAUCCGGAUUUAUUGGGUUUAAAGGGUGCGUAGGCGGACCGAUAAGUCAGUGGUGAAAACCUGCAGCUUAACUGUAGAACUGCCAUUGAUACUGUCGGACUUGAGUGUGGUCAAGGUAGGCGGAAUGUGUAAUGUAGCGGUGAAAUGCUUAGAUAUUACACAGAACACCGAUGCGAAGGCAGCUUGCUGGACCAUUACUGACGCUGAUGCACGAAAGCGUGGG
rnacentral:rRNA from 1 species